CAACAUGAUAUUAAUAAAAUUAAUGUGCAUAUAGUUCCACAUUCUCAGGAUGAUGUAGGUUGGCUUAGCACAGUAGAACAAUAUUUCUAUGUCAAAGUCGACACUACCAUCAGCUCAGUCAUAGGGGGACUUCUUCAAAAAUACAACAGAAGAUUUAUUCAAGUUGAAACCGCUUAUUUCAAAAAAUGGUGGACCGAUCAGUCGGACAACGUUAAAAAUCUGGUAAGACAACUUGUGAACGAAGGAAGACUGGAAGUGACUGGCGGUGCUUGGAGUAUGAACGAUGAAGCGGCCACUCAUUACCAGUCCAUAAUUGAUCAGUUUACAUUGGGCCUAAGAUAUAUUAGUGACAAUCUGGGAAAAUGCGGGGCACCAAGGGCCGGAUGGCAAAUCGAUCCCUUCGGUAACAGUAGCAAAUGGGCAUGGGAAGUGUUAAGGUUUUAAUGUCAUACAUUUUUAAAUUAUUAAUUUUGAUAUUAGGUGCGUUAUGGAUGGAAACUGUUUAAAUAGUAACCCCCAAAUAGUUACGGGUUCCAAGAGUCCAAUGUACAAUUGGGAAGAAAGAGUCAAUAAAUUUAAAAUACUACUAUUAAGUUCUUCUCAAGCAACAAUUUACUACUGACCUUUGGCGACGAUUUUAGAUGGGAAGCAGCCGAAAGAUAUUACAAUAAUCUAGAUAAACUAAUUGCGUGAUGAUGGAUAUGGGGUGGCUGAAGCUCUAAACGAACAAGAAUUCAAUCAAGGUCUUGUUUCUAGAGGAAGUCACUUCAUAACAUUAGCUAUAAGUAAUCUAUCUUUGAAAUUAACUUUAAUUUAAGAAGAACAUCUAAAGACAAAUUUAAAUAUUAAUUUUUUAAAUUUUAAAGAAACCUCAACUAUACAGGUGCGUAUUUUGGUUCAAAGAAAACAUUUAACACCACUGUUGUUCUUUACCACAAAACCAAUUUCUACGAAAUCUAAAUUAUUUAUACAAAAAGAACUUCCUGAAAAUGUGCACUUGUUGACGUUAGAUAAGUGGAAUGACUGGGACAAUCUUCUCAUAAGAUUGGAAAACAUUUUGGAUAAAAAUGAAGGCAAAGAAGUUACAGUCGAUUUGACCGACUUCUUUGUACCAUUCAAAAUUAAAUCCUUAGAUGAAACUUUGCUUGCCGCUAAUAUUAUGUUGGGAGAUGCAUCAAGACUUACUUGGCCUCAAUUGAGUAAACCGAAUCCAAACAGCAUAUUGAGCAGAGAAAAAAGGAUGGAAAGGGAGGCCAGCGAUUUGAAAAUCAGUUUAGCUCCAAUGCAAAUUAGAACAUUCAUUGCCACCAUUGAACGUAAAUA